ensembl:lncRNA
GCUGCUGGUCUAUUCUUCGGCCAGUUUAUGAGCCCAGAGAAUGUGCACCUAUGCUGUCUUUACCUGCUAAGUUUCUGACUUUUCCAGUCCCCCAGGUUCAUAGCUCUGUGCCAAAUAGUCCCUGAGACUCAGCUUUAGAUGAACAAGUUGGUUUUCUCCAUUUCCACACUGAGCUUCUUCUCCAUGCUUCUUAGAGGCAUUGCUUUAGGUAACUGAGGAGGUUCCUGAUCACCUGCCCUUUUCAAGCCAAAAGCUGAUAGCAGCAUUUCUGGCACACGUCAGCAAUGAAACUUCACACAAAUGUCCUUGUGAUCUUUCCUCCUUGUUUCCCCUGGGCACUCAUCGUACAACCAUUCAAUGGAAAACAGAAGCCAUCCCAUUCCCUUUUCCUAAGAGCUAAGUUUCUGCAGCAGUCAAAGGGAAUCCCAUGCAUGUUGCUGGGAAGAGCUCAAGGACAUAGAAAUUCAUUCUGUGGAACAUAAUCAGGCUCUUGGGCUCAUUCCCACAGCUAUCCACACUCUAGUGGGGAGGAGCUGAGAACUUUGGAGAGGUGCAGAGACAUGUACAGGGCCACCGUAUCAGUCCUUGGACUGGUACCAACCUCUCCAUCCCCAAGUAAACGUGGGAUAAUGUGUUCCACUCUUCACAGGCA